AGUGCUGUGGCUCAGUGGGUUAAAGCUCUGGCCUGAAGCACCAGCAUCCCAUAUGGUUCGAGUCCCAUCUGCUCCU
rnacentral:tRNA from 1 species